rnacentral:rRNA from 1 species
AUUGAACGCUGGCGGCAUGCCUUACACAUGCAAGUCGAACGGCAGCACGGGAGCAAUCCUGGUGGCGAGUGGCGAACGGGUGAGUAAUAUAUCGGAACGUGCCCAGUCGUGGGGGAUAACGUAGCGAAAGCUACGCUAAUACCGCAUACGAUCUAUGGAUGAAAGCGGGGGAUCGCAAGACCUCGCGCGAUUGGAGCGGCCGAUAUCAGAUUAGGUUGUUGGUGGGGUAAAAGCUCACCAAGCCUGCGAUCUGUAGCUGGUCUGAGAGGACGACCAGCCACACUGGAACUGAGACACGGUCCAGACUCCUACGGGAGGCAGCAGUGGGGAAUUUUGGACAAUGGGCGCAAGCCUGAUCCAGCAAUGCCGCGUGCAGGAUGAAGGCCUCGGUUGUAAC